rnacentral:lncRNA from 1 species
GCUGGUAUGCGAUUAGCUCCACGCCAUUCCCACCGAAAGGCUACGAUUUCAGUUUCGCUGUUUUCACGAGAACGUGAUAAAAAGUAAAGAAACUACUGACAAACGGAGACAAUGUUUGAAACCCUAAAUAUAAGUUAGAAGGAUCCAAUACAUAUUCAUUAAGGGUCGGGGAACCUUGAAAGAACGUCACUGAUAAAGUAAGCAUGGGAAAAAACGCAAAGCUAUACAAGAAAAAGCCUUAGAAAACACACCUAUUUUCCAAGCUGUUCAGAAGACUAGCGCUAGCCAACAACUCUCCUAGCAAUUUCCCUUCUUAUGAAACCAAUCAUCCUACAAACAAACCACUGCCCUUCAUGUGAAAAAACCUGAAUCUGUAAUUAAUGAUUUUAAAACUGGCCUCCAAUUGCAGAUGCGAUCAUGGCUAGAAUCCCAACUUGACACUGGCAGCUGGUGAGGGCUGAUGGCUUGGUGUGCUAAGUUACCUCAUGGAGAGAUUGGGCAGAGACCUUUUUACAGAGAUGGUGAAUUCUCGUGUAACAAUAGCUGGAGCAAGAAGCUAGAAAAUCCUGAAGGCACGGUCUGGUUCAUUAAAGAGUGGAACUACUCAAAGGUUUAGAACAAAAUUAAGUUCAAAAAAUUCUGAAGAAUUCCCUGGUUAAGCAUAUGAAAAAAGUUUUCUACAGACUUCUCUAUGCGCAGUGAUGAGUUCAGAUAUUGAAUAUCUUGGAGCAGUAUUGGCAAAAUAAUAACAACAUGCAGAGCAAGUAGGAUUGAGAGGCAGUGGGGUAAGUUUCUUGCACACUGAGUUCCUUUAAUGUUGAUUCAAAUUUUAAAGGGAUAUCAUGAUGUGUUAACAUCUCGGAAAUCCUCUAACAGAUUAAACCCGUUAUUAUGAAUAUUCUUUUACCCUCAAAUACAAAAGCACUAGAAGACUGUUGUAAGAUAAGCUAACAUGGAAAAAACUUCAUACUUCCCUCUCAUGAGAAGCGUUUUAAGUGUUCAAGCCCAGAGCCUGGUAAGCUCUGGGCCUGGUAAGCCAGCUCAGGCAUCGCUUCUAGCCUCUGACUUCAGGUAAGAUUUUAUUGUCUUACAGAACACUCCGGAGUUCAACCUUCCUUCCAAACCAACAAAAAACAAAACAAAACCCCCUUCCCCAAAAAACAAACUAAGGGCCUAAACUCACCCUCACUUCGAAAGCCAUUAUAUUUUGAUCCUGUAUUGAUUCCUGACCCAAGGAAUACUGUCUUAUCUAGGGUUAACGUUAAAAAAAAAAAAAAGU